CCUACGGGCUGCAGCAGGCGAGAAAACUUUGCAAUGUGCGAAAGCACGACAAGGUUAAUCCGAGUGGUUUCUGCUAAAGAAACCUUUUGUUAGUCCUAGAAACACUGAUGAAUAAGGGGUGGGCAAGUUCUGGUGUCAGCCGCCGCGGUAAAACCAGCACCUCAAGUGGUCAGGAUGAUUAUUGGGCCUAAAGCAUCCGUAGCCGGCUAUGUAAGUUUUCGGUUAAAUCUGUGCGCUUAACGUACAGGCUGCCGGGAAUACUGCAUAGCUAGGAAGUGGGAGAGGUAGACGGUACUCGGUAGGAAGGGGUAAAAUCCUUUGAUCUAUUGAUGACCACCUGUGGCGAAGGCGGUCUACCAGAACACGUUCGACGGUGAGGGAUGAAAGCUGGGGGAGCAAACCGGAUUAGAUACCCCUGUAGUC
rnacentral:rRNA from 1 species